rnacentral:tRNA from 1 species
GAGAGAGGUCCGAUGACAACAAAUACUGCUAAUAUUUUGCCACCCUAGUUAAACCCCAGGGCUCACUCG